UACGGGGGGGGCAAGCGUUGUUCGGAAUUACUGGGCGUAAAGGGCUUGUAGGUGGCCAACUAAGUCAGACGUGAAAUCCCUCAGCUUAACUGGGGAACUGCGUCUGAUACUGGAUGGCUUGAGUUUGGGAGAGGGAUGCGGAAUUCCAGGUGUAGCGGUGAAAUGCGCAGAUAUCAGGAGGAACACCGGUGGCGAAGGCGGAUCUCUGGGCCUUACCUGACGCUCAGGCGCGAAAGCUAGGGGAGCGAACUGG
rnacentral:rRNA from 1 species